rnacentral:rRNA from 1 species
GAUGAACGCUGGCGGCGUGCUUAACACAUGCAAGUCGAACGGGAUCCCAGGAGCUUGCUCCUGGGUGAGAGUGGCGAACGGGUGAGUAAUGCGUGACCGACCUGCCCCAUACACCGGAAUAGCUCCUGGAAACGGGUGGUAAUGCCGGAUGCUCCGACAUGACGCAUGUCGUGUCGGGAAAGAUUCAUCGGUAUGGGAUGGGGUCGCGUCCUAUCAGCUUGAUGGCGGGGUAACGGCCCACCAUGGCUUCGACGGGUAGCCGGCCUGAGAGGGCGACCGGCCACAUUGGGACUGAGAUACGGCCCAGACUCCUACGGGAGGCAGCAGUGGGGAAUAUUGCACAAUGGGCGCAAGCCUGAUGCAGCGACGCCGCGUGCGGGAUGACGGCCUUCGGGUUGUAAACCGCUUUUGACUGGGAGCAAGCCCUUCGGGGUAAG